rnacentral:rRNA from 2 species
UAGGGAAUAUUGCAUAAUGGGCGAAAGCCUGAUGCAGCAACGCCGCGUGCGCGAUGAAGGCCUUCGGGUCGUAAAGCGCUUUUCAGAGGGAUGAGGAAGGACAGUACCUCUGGAAUAAGUCUCGGCUAACUACGUGCCAGCAGCCGCGGUAAAACGUAGGAGGCAAGCGUUAUCCGGAUUUACUGGGCGUAAAGCGCGUGCAGGCGGAUCGGAAAGUUGGAUGUGAAAGCUCCCGGCUCAACUGGGAGAGGUCGUUCAAUACUUCCGGUCUAGAGGAUGGUAGAGGGAAGUGGAAUUCCGGGUGUAGUGGUGAAAUGCGUAGAUAUCCGGAGGAACACCAGUGGCGAAAGCGGCUUCCUGGACCAUUUCUGACGCUCAGACGCGAAAGCUAGGGUAGCAAACGGG